UCUCCUGGAAAACGGGUGGUAAUGCCGGAUGUUCCAGUUGAUCGCAUGGUCUUCUGGGAAAGCUUUCGCGGUAUGGGAUGGGGUCGCGUCCUAUCAGCUUGACGGCGGGGUAACGGCCCACCGUGGCUUCGACGGGUAGCCGGCCUGAGAGGGCGACCGGCCACAUUGGGACUGAGAUACGGCCCAGACUCCUACGGGAGGCAGCAGUGGGGAAUAUUGCACAAUGGGCGCAAGCCUGAUGCAGCGACGCCGCGUGAGGGAUGGAGGCCUUCGGGUUGUAAACCUCUUUUAUCGGGGAGCAAGCGUGAGUGAGUUUACCCGUUGAAUAAGCACCGGCUAACUACGUGCCAGCAGCCGCGGUAAUACGUAGGGUGCAAGCGUUAUCCGGAAUUAUUGGGCGUAAAGGGCUCGUAGGCGGUUCGUCGCGUCCGGUGUGAAAGUCCAUCGCUUAACGGUGGAUCCGCGCCGGGUACGGGCGGGCUUGAGUGCGGUAGGGGAGACUGGAAUUCCCGGUGUAACGGUGGAAUGUGUAGAUAUC
rnacentral:rRNA from 2 species